rnacentral:lncRNA from 1 species
GGCCCCCAAAUUUUAGCGGAACGACCAUCACAAGCAGAAGGGAGGAAGAUACACCAAGUCAAUUGACGGCUCCUUUUGGAAAAAUUGUACCACCGAUGACACCAUCAGCAAAAAUACCCCAACACUACCACAAGUCUCUGCACCAACAGAUAGUUCACAAUGCAUACAAGUGAGUUCACAAUGCGUACAAGUGAUACAUAGUCCAGGCAAGUUCUGCAAGCAGUUCAGUGAUAGCUAUUGCAGAAGCUGUAGAUUGGUUUUAUCUUUGUCUUCACUGGCACUGGGAUGAAGAUAGGAAUCCUGGCAAUAAUGGCUAAAGAAAAAAUUAUGUAACAUUCCAGAAGGCACUAAAAGAAAACAAUUUUCUUAACCAAUUACAUUAUCUUGAAGAGACUUAUUAAAUAUAAUGAAAAGGAAAGGUGAAAGUAAACAAACAGAUCUGUUAAUCUCCUUUUUUGUUCACAUAUUAAAACAAUCCUCAACACAUCCCCUCAGCCACUCCUGAAGGAGGAAGAUUCCAGCUGCUUAGAGGUCACAAGGGCAAAAUCAUUGCUGCAUUCCUCCAGCGAGCAGUCUAUCCCUUGGAAGCACUUCAUCUCUUCCCCCAGCAACUGGGAGCUCCCUGAAGAGGAGGAGGCUAAGGACCAGGAUGACAGCUCCUCUGUGGCUCUCUGUCUCCUCACUCAAGGGCCCCCCUCCAAAGGUGGAGGCUUCCCAAAGCCAUCAGCCCAGAGGGGAGGGCUCUGGUCCCAGCCCCCUCUCAAUUACUUUCACCUAAUUGCCCUGGCACUAAGAAACAGUUCCUGCUGUGGGUGGCCUCAAUAUGUAGUAGAUCUACAGUUUCAUUUGACAACACUUCCCCUUUUUCUGGACAGCACAGAACCAAAAGGCUGGAAGAAUACUGUUCAUCACAAUCUCUGUUUCUGUGACAGCUUUGAGAAAGUGUCCAUGUGAUGCCCUUCCUCUUUAACCUUUAACUCUAAGAAGCAAAGUCUGCCAUGCCCUACUAAAGUUUCUUUAAACAGCCAAAAAAAAAAAAAAAGACUUAGUUUGGAACAUAGUGAGUCAAGAAAAAAAUUGAGGAUUAAAAGAUUGUAGUGUAUAUCUAGAAAUUCUUGAAAGUGGUAGAAGAAAAGUUGAUGGAAAAUGGUUCAGGAAUUUGACUACUUAAUAUGGAGAAACAAAGAUUAAGGCAACAGGGAAGUCAAUAAAAAACACUCUUCAUUCCCAAAAAUAAAUAUUAUAUGGAUGAUUCUGAUAAAUUAGGUUUCUCUAAGGAUGGGGAACUAAUAAUAGUGGAUAUUUAGAUAAGAGGAAAAGAGGGCUGGGGUUGUGGCUCAGUGGUAGAGCCUAGCACUUGUGAAGCCCUGAGUUCAAUCCUCAGCACCACAUAAAAAUAAAUAAAUAAAUGUCUAUCAACAACUAAAAAAAACAUUAAAAAAAGAGGAAACAAAGUGCAUUGGCUAUAAAGUUUAUUAAGGACAAUUAUAGAAUUUUCCCUCUGGGAUUUGAAAGAAAUGAGAUAGAGUGUUAAAUUAAUACAGGAAUUUAAAGUUAGAUUAGAUUAUCAAGAUUUCGGCAGUCGCAGUUGUGCCAGGGCACCAAGAUGUCGUUUCCAAAGUAUAAGCCCUUGCGUUUGGCCACUCUACUCCCUACCCUUGACCCCGCUGAGUACACCAAAUACAACAUAUCUCCGGAAACCCUGAAGGCGCAAGCUGAGAGGUUGGCCAUAAGAGCCGGGCUUAAAUGGGAGUAUCUGCUUCAGUAUAAUGACCUCAACCGUGGAGGGCUCAUUGAAGAUCCUGCCUUAAUUCGCUGUACCUACGCAAGAUCAGAAAAUAUCUAUCCAAAUUUUAGACCCACUCCCAAGAACUCACUCUUAGAAGCUCUGUUUGGAAUUGAACCCCUGUUCUUCUGGUAUUAUGUUUUCAAAACUUAUAGGGAUAGGAAGGAAAAACUUAUCCAGGAAGGAAAAUUGGACCGGAAAUUUAAUAUUUCCUAUUAAGUCUGGCAAUGAUUACUAAUAUAUUCUUGCUUAAUAAAUCUUCUAAAAAUCAUUUAAAAAAAGAUUUCCUCCCAACCCUUUUCUAAGAUAAGUCAACAUUUAUUGAGUUCCCACUGUGAAACACCUUGUUUUGGAAACAUUUCAUAAUUUUGUGACAUGCUUAAGAUUUGGGGUCUUGGGCUGGGGAUGUGGCUCAGGCGGUAGUGCGCUCGCCUGGCAUGCGCGCGUCGUUGGGUUUGAUCCUCAGCACCAUAUAUAAAUAAAGAUGUUGUGUCCGCCAAAAACUAAAAAAUAAAUAUUAAAAAAUUCUCUCUCUCUCUCUCUCUCUCUCUCUCUCUCUCUCUCUCUCUCUAAAAAAAAAAAAGAUUUUGGGUCUUAUAACUGUGAAACUUUUUUUUUCUGUUCAUGUGGUAUUAUAGGUAGAAAAUGAGUAGUAUUCUAAAAUGGCCAAUUCUGUCUCUCUUCAUCUUUCUUUUCAGGUUGUGUGCUAGCCUUCUCCCAAAAAGCUCAGAGGCUGUUUGCAAGUAUCUUGCCUCUGUUCUCAUUUGCAACCCAUAUCUCACUGAAUUGGACCUGAGUGAAAAUCCCCUGGGGGACAAAGGAGUGAAGUAUCUUUGUGAGGGUCUUAGACAUUCUAACUAUAAAUUGGAGAAACUAGAGUAAGUUUCUUACAACUCUCUUGCAUCAUCUAAUGAUCACUUGUUGAGUGCCAGCUAUGUGCUUGGUGCUUCCCAGAAGUUAUCUCACUUUAUUCACUACUUAGAAUAAACAUAAAGGGCAGACUUUCUUAUCUGCAUUGUACAGAUGAAGACACUGAAGAUUAGAGGAAAAGUGACUUGUUCAAAGUCAUACUGCUAAUAAGUGAUAGUCAGGAUGUGAUUCCAACAUAUGUCUUCAAAUCUGAUAUUCUUUGUAGUAUACCACAGCUUUGUGUUUAUAGGAAUGACAUCAAUUAUUAACUACAUAAAAUAUACCUACUAUGUAUCCAAAGAUUGUGGGGAUAGAUGUCAGUGGUGUUAUCAGAAGUUCUUCAUGUGACAGGGCUACCCUUAAGAACAUAACAGAUACGUAAACAUAUUGUGGAAUCGUUUAAUGUCAGAUGAGCUCAGGAAGAGGAUGAGGUCACUGUUGGCUGGAGACAUCAGGAAGCGCUUCUAUGAAGGUGGUGGGACACGAGCUGGAAUUCAAAGGAGGAAGCAGGGAGGCUGCUAGGACAUGCCCAGGAAUCCCAAAUGAUGACAGUGGCUGAUUUUUCUUUUCUUUUUCUCUGAUUAGCUUAAGCAAAUGUUACCUCUCAGAUGUGAGCUGUGUGGAGCUCUCUUCUUUCUUGCAAGUGAGUCACACUUU